rnacentral:lncRNA from 10 species
CGAGAAGUGGAGGGUGUUGUGGACCGACUGCGGCUCCUGAAAUGCCUGGGUUCAGCCCUAACCCCAGUGUGACUGUAUAGGUAAUUAAGGGUAAGUAAGGUCGUAAGCGUAAGGCCCUGAUCUGAUGGGGACCUCAGCCUUAUCAGAGGGGCAAGGGGACUGUCCCUCCACCUCUGCCAGCCAAGAAGAGAGGCCUUGCAGAAUGGACCCUAGGGGCCUCCUGACCUCAGACUUCCAGCUGAACCAUGAGAACAAGCAGGAGUGCCUGCUGCUGAAGCCGUCCAGCCUGUGACGUUUCGUCACCAUGAAAGCCAGUUCUGCAGGCUGAACAGAAAGUGUGGCGCCGACAUCUGCUUCUGGUGAGGCUUCAGGAAGUUUCCAAUCAUGGUGGAAGGGGAGCCAGAGAAAGAGAGGGCAGAAGCACCACACUCUUAAACAACCAUAUUUCCCGUGGACUCCCAGAGUGAGAACACACUCACGUGGGAAGGGAAGCCAUUCAUGAGGGAUCCACCUGCAUGAUUCAGCACCUCCCACCAGGCCCCGCUUCCAACAUUGGGAUCACAUUUCAACAUGAGAUCUGGAGGGGACACACAUCCAAACCACAUCAGCCCCAUUUGCUGAGAAGCGACCACGUGCCAGGCCCAGUGCAGCCUCCUCGUGUGCACGCCUCGUUUAGAUGGGACCACAGCCCUGCCAGGUGAACAGUGUUACCCGAUUUACAGAUGAGCAGACCGAGGACCAGAGAAGCCCCGGCAGCUGCUCCAGCUGGUGAUGGAGUGUUUGGGGCCGAGAUUCACACUCCGUGCAGGACACCACGGUCUACUUGUGCUCGUGUCUCUGAAUGUGAGAGAGGGAGAGACAUCCCAGGGCAGCGGGACCAGGGCAAGAGGGAGCAGAGGGAGUUCCAGCUUCCCUGGCACCAGCGUUUCCCAGCCGCCCUGCAUCUUGGCUUCACGGAAGGAGCCCUUCUGCGAGGCCCACCUCUUCUCCCUCCCUGCAAAUGCCGUGGGUCAAGGCCAGCUCGGUCUUGUUUCAAGAAGUAAAGCAAUAAUGCUCCUCCGAAGCUGACUGGGGGGAGCAGCAGCAGUGCAGCAGGUGGAGCUGCGAAAGGGGAGCUCUCGGGGUCCUAGACAAGCACCCCGAGUCUGGGGUCUCCAGGUGAGCCCCUGCAAGGCCAGCCUUGGACUAGUGGCACGUGGGGCGAGUUUUAUUCUUCCUUCACAAGCGGUCACCAGGGCUGGCAAAAUGUUGCACCACAAGGCUGCUGGCCAGCUAGGUGUCCUCCACUCACCAGACUCUCGGAAUUUGCGAGGUCCUCCGUUGCUAAUAACAAUAGGCCUGAUUUGUUGAGAGCCCGCCUGUGCCAGCCUGCGCCUCACACAAUUAUUAUCUGCGUUUUGCGCCAGUGAAAGCUGUGGCUGUGAGAAGUCAGAGUCGCAUGGAGAAUACGUGGAGCUGUGGGAUUUGAACCUUGGACAGUGCCAGGGCAGUGCCCUGGCCCUCUGCCCUGCAGGAGCCCCUCGGCUGCCAGUAGCCUGAGAUGCCUGCUGCCGGGCACCAUGGCCUGCCACUGACAGUUCCGGAUGGAGAACUGACUUGAGUUUGUGUCUCUACAGAUCCAGAGACGCGACCUGUCCAAGCUUUCCACUGGAGAGAGGAACGCUGAGGCUGGGUCCGUGCUGGGGCUGGGUCCGUGCUGAGGCUCACAGUCAAACGGUACCACCUGCAUCGGUGCUUUCCACACCUGAUCUCUCUUGAGCCUCAUGACAACUAUUAUCCACUUGAAGAGGGGGAAACUGAGGCUUAGAAAGCUCAAGCACCCUGCCAAAAGCCAUGGGGGGAGCGAGAACUCCCAUACAGGACUUCCGGCUCCCCGUCCCGCCUCCUCCCACCAUGCCCCAGAACUAGCACCCCCUGAGCACUUGCUUGAGCCACGGUGAGAUCCAGAACCCGGCCGGAGCCAGGCUUCGGCCAAGCCGCGGCCACGCUGCCAUCUGACAAGCCCGGGGCCUGUCCCAACAAGACUGAGGCCCGUGUGGAGACAACUGCACAGUCGUGACCGGUUGUCCUGACAGACCUGCUAGCACCUCCCGAGGCUGGGAGGGCGCUAAGGGGAGCUGGCCUGCCUGCCCGCCUGCUGCGGGCGGCACCUCCGGCGCCUGAGCUCCCAGUUUGGCCGCUAAAGCUAAAUUUUAGCUCCAAGUAAAAAUGUGUCUGAGUAUAAAGCUUUGAAGAUACGGUUUCUUAAUGAAAACGCUGAGUGAAGCCAAUUAGACUGGCAUGGGCAGUAAUCACUAUAAUAAGGGUAAUUGAGUUGGAUUUAUUAUAGCUGACGAUGGCUCUUUUCCCCUUAAGUCGAGAAAGAAAAUAAUUUACUGAUAUUAAAACAUGAUUGAAGUUUUCCUUCAAACCCUUGGGAAAUGGCUCGGUUUCUGGGACUUCAUCUCAAACGUGAGGCUGGUGAAUAACAAGACAAUGGCCACCUUUUUUUUUUUUUUUUUUUUUGAGACGGAGUCUUGCUCUGUCGCCCAGGCUGGAGUGCAGUGGCACAAUCUCAGCUCACUGCAACCUCCGCUUCCCAGGUUCAACCAAUU